rnacentral:rRNA from 1 species
UACGGAGGGUGCAAGCGUUAUCCGGAUUUACUGGGUUUAAAGGGUGCGUAGGUGGAUCAUUAAGUCAGUGGUGAAAUCUUCAGGCUUAACCUGGAAACUGCCAUUGAUACUAGUUAUCUUGAAUACUUUGGAGGUAAGCGGAAUAUGUCAUGUAGCGGUGAAAUGCUUAGAUAUGACAUAGAACACCAAUUGCGAAGGCAGCUUGCUACACAGUUAUUGACGCUGAGGCACGAAAGCGUGGGGAUCAAACAGG